AUCUAGCUGACAAAUCCUUAAUAGGACGAAACGCGCAUCCUGGAU
rnacentral:hammerhead_ribozyme from 1 species